GUUUGAUGCCUUUCUUUCUGUAAGCAAACCAACAUGGUGGCUGCUGGUGGCCUGUUUGGCCAUGGAGACGGUGGAUAUAACCAGGGGCACUUGGUUCUGAACAUGGAAACCGCCUGGCCGGCCACUCAGCCCAUCACCAGUAGAGCUUCACGAAGCUCUUCAUGUGCUCUGGUCAACACAGACCUGCAGCGGUCAGCCGUGUCAGCCCUUGACUGGGCCGACGCCUUGGAGAUGGCGUUCAAUGAGUGGGGAGCCCACCGGCAAGAGAGCCUCCCUGGUUCUGGAGACCAUGUUCUCAGUUUUACAAAGAGACUGAAUCUGCCCACGUGGCUGGUCUCAUUUUCCUCGUUCGUCGGCCUUGCUUGCUAAUUUCCACGCUGGGUUUCGAGGCAGAGGAAGCAUAUACUGAGGGGAUGCCACCCGGGACUAUUUUGAGUUAGACUAAAGAGCUUCAGAAAUUCCUCCUUUGAUUCCUCCGGGCAGAGAGAAAUCUUUGUCUUUUCUCUCACUUAAUGAUAAAUGCUUCAAAGCCCAGACCUAUAUAAAAUACACAAAUGCUUUCUGGACAAAAUGGAUCUUGUCCAUUUUCUUUGGGCUUCGAUGGGAACAAUAAAGAUUGAGCUACAAAAGGUUGGCAAAGAGGAUUAUCCUUUUUCNCAGCCCAGAAAGUCCGAUAAUUGUAUCCACCACCGCUUACCCACCCGUCCCCCUGCUGACCUGGCCUGUGAAAUCCCCUUUUAAACUCUUGGCUGGCUCUCACCUGCCCAUUGCAAAGGCUGCAUUGUGCAGCGUGCCUGUCCGCAACUCCAGGAGAGGCAGCUUGAAGCACACUGUCCCUUCACCAGAGCAGCGCGUCAGGGGAUAGCUCUCUGGAUGGGGGUGGGGUGCAUCUCUAAUUUUCAAAGCUUCGGAACCUCACUUUGGAGAGGGAGCCCCUUGGGGGCUGAAGUGGACGGUGAAGAGUCUACAGUCACAGAUGCCCCAAAUCCAAAGGGGACGAAGGGGAGGAGUGAGGGAGACUCGGGGAGCGGUUUUGAUCUUCUCAGCAAUUUCUUGAUUUCGUUAGUUUAGAAAACACAUCGUUAGUUUCCAGCUGUGGCUCUAAAUCAAAGCCUCAGGCUCGAAGCUGAUCUAACUCCUGAUUUCAGUCCAUAACUUCCUCAGAAAACCCUUGCCGGCCAUUUGGAAGAGCAUGGAGCGGCUCCUGCAUGCCGAGGGAUGAGGGGAGGGUUUGGCUACUCAGGCAUUUUGAAGUUUGGGUUGGACAUUUCCUAGCAGUGUCGAAGCCUGGAGUCAUCUCAGCUAAAAACAGAAAGAUGACCUCCCAGUUGGCCAGUCAUCCUGAAGUUGGUGCAGAAUCAUCACCAAAGCAUGACUUUAGUAAGUGGCUGGUCCUCUCCCUGGGCCAGUAAAGAGGCCCGUUGCUUGGACCUGGCCACUGUGGUCUCAGAUGCGCACCAGGGGCCUGGCGUCGGAAGGGCAGCCACCACAGAGCUGCAGGUGGCUGCACUGUGUGGGCUCAGACACCUACCCGGGGCCCAGGCCGAGGCGGGCCUACCACCUCCACGGGCGGGGGCGGGGUGCAAAGAGGCAUGGAGCCCCAGGCAGCG
rnacentral:lncRNA from 1 species